ACUGCUAUCAGAGUGGGACUAAGCCAUGCGAGUCAACAUAGCAAUAUGUGGCAUACGGCUCAGUAACACGUAGUCAACAUGCCCAGGGGACGUGGAUAACCUCGUGAAACUGAGGAUAAACCGCGAUAAGUCACUACUUCUGGAAUGGGUAAUGACUCAAAUCUAUAUGGCCCCUGGAUUGGACUGCGGCCGAUCAGGCUGUUGGUGAGGUAAUGGCCCACCAAACCUGUAACCGGUACGGGCUCUGAGAGGAGGAGCCCGGAGAUGGGCACUGAGACAAGGGCCCAGGCCCUAUGGGGCGCAGCAGGCGCGAAACCUCUGCAAUAGGCGAAAGCUUGACAGGGUUACUCUGAGUGAUUUCCGUUAAGGAAAUCUUUUGGCACCUCUAAAAAUGGUGCAGAAUAAGGGGUGGGCAAGUCUGGUGUCAGCCGCCGCGGUAAUACCAGCACCCCGAGUGGUCGGGACGUUUAUUGGGCCUAAAGCAUCCGUAGCCGGUUCUACAGGUCUUCCGUUAAAUCCAACUGCUUAACAGGUGGGCUGCGGAAGAUACUAUAGAGCUAGGAGGCGGGAGAGGCAAGCGGUACUCGAUGGGUAGGGGUAAAAUCCGUUGAUCCAUUGAAGACCACCAGUGGCGAAGGCGGCUUGCCAGAACGCGCUCGACGGUGAGGGAUGAAAGCUGGGGGAGCAAACCGGAUUAGAUACCCGGGUAGUCCCAGCUGUAAACGAUGCAGACUCGGUGAUGAGUUGGCUAUAUGCCAACUCAGUGCCGCAGGGAAGCCGUUAAGUUUGCCGCCUGGGGAGUACGGUCGCAAGACUGAAACUUAAAGGAAUUGGCGGGGGAGCACCACAAGGGGUAAGCCUGCGGUUCAAUUGG
rnacentral:rRNA from 1 species